AUUGAACGCUGGCGGCAGGCUUAACACAUGCAAGUCGAGCGAGCGGCGGACGGGGGAGUAAUGUCUGGGAAACUGCCUGAUGGAGGGGGAUAACUACUGGAAACGGUAGCUAAUACCGCAUAACAUCAGAUGUGCCCAGAUGGGAUUAGCUAGUAGGUGGGGCAAUGGCUCACCUAGUGGACGAUCCCUAGCUGGUCUGAGAGGAUGACCAGCCACACUUGAACUGAGACACGGUCCAGACUCCUACGGGAGGAAGCAGUGGGGAAUAUUGCAAAAUGGGCGCAAGCCUGAGCCAGCCAUGCCGCGGGUGUGAAGAAGGUCUUCGGAUUGUAAAGCACUUUAAUUUGGGAGGCGUUACCAAAAGAGUAAGCACCGGCUAACUUCGUGCCAGCAGCCGCGGUAAUUC
rnacentral:rRNA from 1 species